GUUCGUUCGACGUCGUCUCUGCUCGGCUUUUUCCGAGCCUUUACUGGUCACCGCGAUUCCUCCAGGUUGGUAAAUGGCAGGUGCGGGAGACUGUGUUUGUUCUUCACAUCCUGCCGGGGACGUACCCUAGCUUACUGAAGGUGCCCACAGAAAAUCCACAUCCCAGGAUGAAUGAAGAGCUGCAUUCUUUCAGGGAGGCUACCCUUAACAACACCACUACAAAGCAGCUCAGCGUAUUGGAGCAUGUCCAAUUUGAUGGUGGAUCACAGGAGAGCGGAUGUCACCCGUAUUGUACAGUAUUUUGUGACCAUGUUAAUGACCACAUGAACUCACUGACUCUACAUUUUUUAAGAUUUUACCUGAGCUGUUUGAGCAAGAGUCUAGUUUGUUGCUGGGGGAAAUGUGCUGAAAUGCCGCCAUCUGCAGGAUGCCUGAAUAUAUUACAGAGUAUAAUCUAUCUAUAAAUAAUAAAUAAAAAUAGAUCCCACAGCCUAUCCUGACAUUAUUUCCUGCUGUGUGACCCACAAAUAUUUGGAUGAAAAUGCAAUUUUUGGCAGCCACACUCCUAUUUUGCUUUGGAGAAGAAAUGACACUCUGAGUAGGAGGUAGAACUGUAGGCUGUUAAUUGCAGCUGAUUUGAGGGUAUUUUUAAGUCUCAUUGGAUGAACAUUAAAAAAACAUACCAGCCUUUUUAUCUCCAGUCUCCUAUUUCAGGGUGCCAAAUGUAUCCGGCCAGAUUGAGGCUGUAAUAGUUAUUUUUAAUAUGUAGCCAGUCAUUUUCUCUGUAGAGGCUGGCAUCCUGUACACAUCACCAGACUGUUGAUACAUUAUUGUCAGGCUGUCUUUCCAGCCUUUUUGCAUUUCAGUUCAUCUCUACAAGAUUCUAGCUCAGCCCUACUGUAGGUAACUCUGCGGCAAUAUGCAGAUCUUCAUUACUGUGACAUCUGAUUCAAACAGCAUUCGAAUUCUCCAUCACGUUGUCACACGUAUGAUCUAAAUACAUUGGAGCAUGAACAUUCCUGUAUUUAUUUUAACCUUUAUUUACUCAGGAACGCUUCACACACUUUACAUUCAUAACUGGAAGCUGACCUAGGGUCAUACAGACUGACACUUAGAGGGAGGAGUUAAAGAGUUUGAUGGCCACAGGCAGGAAUGACUUCCUGUGGCGCUCUGUGGUGCA